UACAGAGGUCCCGAGCGUUGUUCGGAUUCACUGGGCGUAAAGGGUGCGUAGGUGGUGAGGUAAGUCGGAUGUGAAAUCUCCGGGCUCAACCCGGAAAUGGCAUUGGAAACUACCUUGCUGGAGGAUUUGAGGGGGGAUUGGAAUACUUGGUGUAGCAGUGAAAUGCGUAGAUAUCAAGUGGAACACCAGUGGCGAAGGCGAAUCCCUGGAAAAUACCUGACACUGAGGCACGAAAGCUAGGGGAGCAAACAG
rnacentral:rRNA from 1 species